ensembl:snRNA U6 U6 spliceosomal RNA
GUAUUUUUUCCAGCAACACAUAUACUAAAAUUCAAAUGAUUCAGAGACAGAUUAGCAUGGCCCCUCUACAAGGCAUGCACAUUUAUGAAACAGUCUCCAUAUUU